rnacentral:tRNA from 1 species
CGGGGUGUGGCUCAGCUUGGCUAGAGCGCCUGGUUUGGGACCAGGAGGUCGCAGGUUCGAAUCCUGUCACCCGA